UAUGCUUGAAAUCCAUAGGAUAAAGCUUACACAGGUCUAUUCCAAACAUGGAGAAGAGGGAGAUUCAGAAUCACUGAUGGAGUACAAUAAAUAUGCAAGAAAAAGGUAUUGUUUGGAUGCCUCAGGAAAAAAGCAAACUUUGGGGAAGAGAGGAAAUUCUGCUGUCAUUAAACGAAGCUCCCUUGUUACAUACAUUUCUUGUUUUACUCACUGAUGUGUCACAAAAAAGCAGAUUUACUUCUAGAUUCUGCCUGACUCUGGGUCCUGUAACAAGGGAGAUGGAAGGAAGAUAUUUUAUUUAAAUGAAGUCAUCUUGUUUAAAUAAUUGGUAAUAGAUAAAUAGGAAUAAUAGAAAGCAGGACCAAAACAGCAAUGGGGCACUGGUCCAGCUGAUGCUGGUGAUGUCCUUGUUGCAUAAAACUUACAGAAAAAUGAAUGUUUACUGGAUAUUGUGUUCACCUGGAGGGGAGCCAAGGAGCUCCAGAAAAGACACGCAAGAUAAAAGUAAAGCCUUGAGAAGGUAAAAAACAAUUUAAAAUUAAAGGGGGGACACAGAAGGAGAAUUGACUUAGUCCCAGCGUUACUCCCAGCUCACCCUGGGCACUAAGUGGGAUAUUGUAAAUUUUUGGUUCUGUGAGGAGCCCAGAUUCAUGUCAUGGACACAGUCAGUGGCAGUGCUGAUGAGUCAGAAUUCUGGUUUUGUGAUUUACAGGGAAGUCAUUUGAAAAGUAGUGCCAUAUGGGAUGAUGCUUGAUUUGUAAUUCUAGAAGUUAACAAUUCAGUCUCCUGCAAAUCCUGAGUCUGUCAGGGAUUUCUCAAGUGAUGUGCAGCAUAGAAUAUGUCCACUUUUAUUUUUCUAUUUGGAGUUAUUUUAUACAAAUCAGCCCUGGGUUUGCUGGCAGAGGACAUAAAAUAAAGAGCAGAGUGGUACAAAGGAGGGAAAAGCUGGUUCAUUCUGGGCCGGUACAGCCAUUCCCAGAGUUCUUCCCCAACACAACUCCAUCCACUCCUGAAACCAAAGUAAUACUAAUAUGUUUAUUUAAAUCCCUGUGUAAAAUUUAUUUUUCAAUACUACCAUAUUCUGCAUCUCUACAUCCAUCUACAUAAGGAGUUCAACCUGAAUUUCAUACCUCUGUAAUAAAAUCCCUUUUUCUCUGUAUCUCCUAUGGUAGGGCAUGGCUAAGACAAGGUCUCUAUCAACCUUGGCAAGGAAAAGGAAAUUUUGUCUUCUCCAUAAUUAAAUGCAUUAUUUUCAAAAUAAUUUGAAAAUAUUUUUUUAGGCAGUCAAUAUUGUAUUUUUUUCUUUAUAUUUUUUUUUAAAAACAGAAAGCACUUUAAAACUUCUUUUGUUUUAGUACACUUAUUAUAGUUAAGAUUUUAGGUUUUUCUUCACCUGAUAAUUGACAUGGAAAUCCAGGUUCUUGUAACUGUCUUUUUCUUGGUGAGAAAAAAUACUCAGCCAUUUUUAGUCAUUAAUUUUGCAUGAGUAAGGCUUCUUUAGCCCUGCACUUACCAAAUAUAUGUCAUCUCUGGUAUUCUAAAAGUAUAUUUGAUAUCAGAAAACAAAACUGUGACUGUGCCAGCAUGUCGUGGCAUCUUAUCCAUUAAUAUUUCUUCUUGCUGGAAAUGCAGGUCUUCUUCUCAAUCUCAGCACAGAAAUCCUCAAUUUCAAAUUGAGGAUUUUUUAAAUUAAACUAUUUUUUUUAAAUUGUCUUUUUUUCCUGCACAACUGUUUUUUCCAGCUCUCCUCAAUUGGGCUUCAUGUGAUGGUUUUAGACAUAACAGCUUCAGUUCGAGUUGCCUCCCUUCAAAAAUUUGAAAAUGUGCACAGAUCCUGAUCAACAUAAAUUAGCAUGGCUCUGCCUUCUGUUAUCAGUUAUUUCAACUAUAUGAAACAAUCUGUUUCUGUUUCAAUAUAAAAUAAGAUGGUGUGCACGUUUACAAUACAUAGCACUUCCAGACAUAAGUGGGAAUACCUGUUGAAGGGCCCUGUGAGUAAAGACAGCCUGUUAAGGAUCUUUUUUAUGCAUGAGAGGAACAUCCAUGCAGUCACUGUGUUUGCAGGAACGUGUGGGACUGGUUUGGAAUGCAGAACAACAUUUCUGCACUGUGGCAUAGCCUUUUCCUUAUUUAUUUUUAUAUUUUUGCUGGGGGGUGAAAGGUUGAAGUGGUGAUACCACAUCAUUAAAAUCCAUAGGAAUUCUGACAAUAAUUCAAGGGAUUCAGGAUAAAGUUUAUACUGGAAAAAAAAACAGUGGAAAAGUAGGAGCCAAAAAGUGUCUGCAUGGCUACCCUGGUAUUGUCUGUCCCUUUUCCUUACAGAAGUCUUGGGAAAGGAGGUUGCUGCCAAUAUUAUUAAGCUUUAUUUUGUGCUGGCACUUAGCUAUCAGGAUAUCUCUGACAUUUGAUGGGGUCUGGAGCAAACUCUUUUUUUUUUUGUAAUAGAAUUUUUAUGUCUCUGACUAGCCAAGGAAAGGAAGAAUGAAUUUUGUGAGCACGGAGUAAAUAUAAACCAGAGCUUUUAUUCUUUUCCAAACAUUAUUCUGCUUUUAUUUUUGCUUUAUAGCUAAAGGAUGUCAGCAGCUCGGAGCACAAUUUUCAAUCAAUGUUCUUCACUCCAAGGUCUGAAAUCUCUGGUUCUGUCUGUGCCACACAUUUGCUGCUCCGUGGGGUGAAGUGUCCCUGCCCACCAGCUGAACACCUGAAGUACAAGUGAAGCUGCACCUUCCUGAGAUAUCCCAGAGUGCAAAACAGACCCUGCCACCACGGGUGGGAAACCAGGGUGUGGGAGCAGGGGAUGCUUUCAUUUACUCCCCAUCCCCACGUGGAGUUCAGCAGCAGGGAAGCACCUGAAGGCUUCACAGUAACUGCACUUCUGGGAGAGGGAUGGACAAAUGCCUCCAGAUGAGGUGAAAACACAGGUCCUGUCCUUUGUUGGAGUGUGUAAACUUCGGGUGAGAAAAGAGGCAGGAGUAUGUUGGGCAGGAGAUUCUGGAAAUUAGACCAGCUUAUUGAAAGAAUGAAGAAUGAAGAUUCUGGGUGGUUCUUCCACCUGCUGUCUCACACAAACCCUGGGACCAUGGAAAUAAGAUCAUGUUACAGAAGAGUGAAUAAAGAAGAAUUCACAGAACUGAAUGUGAGCAAAUGCAGUUGCCAUGAGCUGUGGGCUCCAGAACCAAUGCUCAGAGCUGCACGAUUUCCCUACCCAGUGCUAUUGAAUAUUGCCUGGUGAUGAAGUGCCUCUCCCUGCAAGUUCCAACGGCAGGACGAGUCAUUUCAUCUUUGUCCAAAUAAUGGUGUGUUUUGUUUUAGGUGAUAUCUGGCUUCUGAGGCCAAUAAAUGCCUUUUCUGGUGGAUGGAUGUUUUAUGUGAGGCUGUGUAUUCCCUUUGAGUUAUGUGGUAUUAUCAAAGAAAACCAGAAAAGUGUAUAUUUUCCAAAGAGACGUGUAAAGGUUUGUAAUUGUUUUCAUCUUCUUUAUAUUUCUGCUUCACCUUUUGAGCACUAUAAACUGUGAUGGUCUUCUUUCAGCAAAGGUUGAAGGGAACUGUUUCAUUUUUAAAGUGUUUUAUUUCUUAUUUCCUAUCGGAGCAGGGAAUCAAAUGGGGCUGUUAUGGAAUGUUUUUCCCAGUGGCAUUCAUUGCCUUUGAGCUCCCCAUGAGACAAGUGAGUUUGAGGAGUGAAGAAUCCUAAAACACAGAUCCUAGUCCUGUAUGACUGAAGGCAGAGAGCCCUGACUACCCUGAUUAUGUGUGGAUUCAUCAGGGAUCUCCUGGAGGAGAAACAUUAAAGCCAUGGAGUAUCUCUGGUUGAAACUCUUCGUGUCUUAAAAAUAAAAUUUGUACAGGUCUUUCCUGACUUGACCAACAUCCAGCAUCUUUAAUAUCUGCCUUUUCCAAGACAUUUACUCCAAGUUCACUCCUGUGCCUUUGGGAGUAGGAAACAACCUUCUGCACAUUUCUGGCCAGUCUAGGUCCUCACUGAAAUUCCAAGUGCAAGGAAUCCAUGGCCUGUUUGAGAAGGUGACCUUGGUUUUCUUCUUGACAUGUUCCUUUUAUUUUUUUGUCACAUAUUUCCUGUUUAAGACGGGAAAUAAAAAAGCUGUCUACCUGGAGGUGCAGAUUCUCUUAAGAGUGUGACAGUGUGGGACAGGCACUAAAAUGCAGAAGUUCUUUGUGGGAGAAAUGUUCUGAGCUGUAAAAAAACCUGAAUAUCUAUCUUCAUAAUGUCCAAGAAAAUAUAUGGAAGUGGCAGGAUUUCACUGCAAAUUCUUUAAGUUUUCUAUGUUUGCCUGUGUUAUUUGAGUCCUUUGAGGUGUUACAUAUGGGAGUAACAGCACCAAUAUAGUCCGACCCACUUGUUCCAAUCAUUCUUGUGCUUGCCAAUUUUCCUAGGUCAGAUUUGGCUCAGUUUUAUGUGUACGAUGUGUUUUGUGUUUUAAUUUGCUGUAAUCUAUAACUUGCAGACGAAUAUUUUAAUUUGUCCUUGGGAAAUAGAGCAGGAGAGUGGAUGCUGAGCAAUAAAACCUGUGGGCUAAAGCCAUGCAGUACCAGGGUGCUCGUGCGACCUGGCAAGGGGCUUGUGCUGUCUGUCAAUGGCAGCUUAGGAGAUGUUGGGCAAAACAGAGGAGUUGGUGAUUUACAGGAAAAUCCCAACAAUCUGCAUGGCCUGCUUUCAAAUCCAGCCUGAGACAUCUGCAACUUUGGCUUUUCGCUCUUCACAGCCCCCAGAUACAAAGUGAAAUAAGAUUUCAAGGUGUGGAAACUGAGUUUGGUUUAAAAUCAAUUAGCAGCUGUUCUCUCUGUUGGGUUUUCUACUUUCCUUUUUCCCUGUUUUAAAUCACAAUUUGUGUACUCUGAGGCCUGCACUGCUCAGAGCACUGGUUUAGACAUCUAUAUUAGCUGGGAAAUGCUAUUGCUUGUGUUUUUCUCUAAAAUAUCCAGCACUCUAGCACUCUGUUUCUCACUGGCAAUGAGAUCUACAUGCUCUGCAGUGUUGCAGCACCACAGCUUGGUCAAACAGUUGUUUUGUAACAUCACAAGAACAGUGGAAAAUUAAAUGUUUAUUACAGAGUGAAGCAAUAUUAUUGCUCAUAUUGUAGUAGGAUGAGUCAAUAUGAUCUGAUUCUGAUGAAGACUUAUGGAGUCUAAAAAUAACUCAUCCCCAGAGCAGAAAAAUAUGUGAAAAUAUACAGUCUAUCCCUUAAAUCCUGAGCAUUAAGUUGAAUUAAUAGAAGAACUUGUAGAGUGCAUGAUUGAAUCCAUGAGGGAUGUAGUGUGAUAGUGUAUAUUUGCCUAAAAGUUUGCUCUGACAGCAAAAACAAUGUACCACAGUAUGUUUCUUUCUUAUCUAAUGGAAAGAAUAACACACAGAGGCUCAGUUCUUGUAAUGAAAACCCCCACAUUAAUUUUAUUUUUUGAUGUGUCAUUGUAAUUCAAGAGAUGUUUUUAAUCUCAGGAUUGCUCGGGCACAAUAAACCAUUUAAAAAGUAUUUGGCAAAGAUCCCUGUGCUUAGCAACAGCUCCUUUCAUUUAAAACUGUUUUUUGAACCAAGCUAUUCAAAGCUUUGUUCCACUUAUUAAAAUAAAGUAUCUUACUUCAAACAAGUAUUUCAGAGAACAUAAUCAAGAGGAGAGCAUUCAAAUACAAUGCACAGAAAACAUAAAAGGUAGCAGCAUGAAAAACUCCAGGACUUUGUGCAUGUUUCCUUGUUUUUCAUUAAGAAAAACUGUAUAAAAGUAUACUCACUACGUAAUUUCUUUUAGUGUUUUUAUGGGAUAGUUAAUAUUACAUUUCUUACCACAUUCUGAAAUUCAUUGCUAGAUUUAAAGUAACAUUUAAAAGCUGUGCAGCAUUUUAGUGAAUGAAAUAUUGCAUUAGUGGCGUAUUUUCCAGUCAUCUAGGUGACAUAAGACAGCCAGAGAGGAGCUAAAUAUAGAAUAAUAUCUAUUUUUUUGCUGUUGGCUUUGUGCUCUUCUGUUAAGUACAGUGUCUAUUCAUGGCACAGUGUCACCGUGGAAGCUCUUCCCAAUAAGGUGAAGACAAGCUGAGUUCAUUAUGUAACAUCACAUUAAGAAUUUAUUUCAGAUUUCCCUUAAUGUCAUUUUGGAUAAGUUCUGCCUUAAGUUAGUUUGCUUUUGAUAGCAGAGGCAUUGCAAGGCAAAGAUGGCUCCAGGAGCAGGCCAAAUGCAGUUUUCCUCCAGUGAAGGGUUGUGUUCUUUCCUUUGUGUUUCCUUGUUCACCUGCACACUUUAGAAAAUAAGGAUGGAUGCACCAUGCCAGGAUCCUCUUCUGUGAAGAGAUUCCAAAGUUUAGUUUUGUGGGAUACCAGAUGCUUUUUUCUACUCCUGGGUGCUCAGUUCCCUCUGAAGGUAAGAGAGGUUGAGGUGAGGACGAAAGAAGACUGAGCAUAAAGAAUAACCUUGUUCUGCAGAUUCUGCUGGGUUUAAAUUUUGCUUUGUUUAGAAAUGAGAACCCCAGUCUUGAAAAAUUCCCCAUCAACAGAAGGAUCUGGAUCUGUGGUUCUGGCUCAAGCUCUGACCUCAUUCCUCAGGCCGUGGUUGUAGGGUUACAAACACAGCCCAAAAAGCUCCUACCCCACCAUGGGUUCAUAGGAAACUAUGACAUAUCAGAUAUAACUGAUAAAAUUGUCAUAAUCCACCAGAAUUUUGGGGGUAAAACCUGAAAAGGAGCUUUGAAUAAUGGUAGCUCUGCAUAGAUAAUGCUGUAUAACUUUUUCAAGAUGGCAGUGACUGUAAAAUCAAUGCAUUUUUUUGAUCUCACAUUGUGUGGGCAGAAAAAUGGUUAUUUCCAAGAUGUUGAAAAGCUAAUCUAUUCUGUUAAGUUUUUGUAUCUUGCAUAGAUAUAGCUUAUUUCUUUUUUUUUUCUUUUAAUUUUACAAACCAAGUUGGGAGCCUUGACAUUUAUUGGGCCCCCAUAUUUUUCAUUUAUAUUCUCUCUAGUCUUCACCAUCUGUUAUGACAGUAAAUAAGUUUCAAAUAAGCCAUAUCUUCCUCAGCAUGAGUUGCUUUUUCUGCAAAAAAAAAAAUUAAAGUUGCAGUUGGAUGUGAUAUUUGAAGUCACAGCUUGUCUUCAAAUAUUUAGUAGCGUAUCCCUGUGCCAAGGGAUAUCAAUCUGCCAUUUGCCUUGCUUACAAUAUAAUAAAGAUUAUCCAAGCCCUUCUUUCAUAGAUAUGUCAAGGCUUUUAAUUACUAUAGCUCAGGAAGUAGCUCUUUCCACUGGCUUUUUCCAUUUUGCUUUGGAUUAAUAUGGUUCCUUCUUAUCUUUUUGCAUGUUAAAUUCCAAAAGGAGAAUGUUGUGUCUGAUUUUGGUGGAUGUGAUCUUCCCUUACAAAUAAAUUCUUCGGCUGUACCAACAGCACUUUUGUUGUUUUAAAAGUCAGUGCUUGAUGGAUAUUUCAGAUGUUGGUGCAAAAACUCAGGAAGUUCUGCAAAGACGUUAUUGGGUUUUUAGUUCUGGUACAGGCAGGCUGAGGGUAAAUUUGAGGUAUGUUUAUUUUGUGUCUUUCCUUUACACCGUACAAGAACGCUCCGGUGAGAAGGGUUGAGACUUGGAAGUCACCUUUGUACCAACAUGCCAGUUUGCUUUCCAAAUUUACCUCUUCCCUUGAUGAUGAAUAUUGUGUCACAUGGAGACAUUUUCCUCAUCCUUGGAGGACAGAGGUGCAAAAUCACGGGUUGGUUUCACUGGUUGUCUUCUAAACUGCAACAAAUCACCCUGGAACUCUCUCAAAGUAGCUCCUCUGACAAGGAGGAAAUUUCAACUCAUUCCACUCAAAACUGAACAUAUUGCUAGAACAGCAAACAUUCUUGUGGAUUGUGUUUUUUACUGAUUUACCUGUUCCCCAGGAGCUUCCCAGAUGUGUCAGAGGUUUUCUAGGAUAAACCAGGAAUAAAUUCUCCUUGUUCCUUCCACACAUCACGUAAUUCUGUGGCUCCAACUGGCCCCAUCCCGAAUUAUCUUUUUGCCCCAUCCUUUGAUAUUUCUGAAGGCUGCACAUAUAUUUUGUGAGUGGAUUUUAAUAUCUGCAUCUUUCAUCAGUACGAAUUAGUACUUCCAGAAUGGCACCAAAGAGACUAUUGUGACUGAACAUCAGCUCUACAAAACAAAAGGAGGUUGACUGCAGUGUGAUUUAUGUGGAAAGACUCAGGCAAAUUCUGCAACAGCCACAACAUUCAUUAUGCAAAGGUACUUCUGAGUAAAAAAACAAAACAGGUUUUACAGCAUUAAAAUAAUGUUCCUUUUCUAGUCAAAACUGAUGCAAAAUUAAGAUUAACCCUUUUGUUUGUAAGAGGAUUUCCCUUUCACUUCAAUAUUCAUAAUCUUCUUACUAUAAAAAUAAAGCUUUUAUUUUUAUGUAUGCAAUUGUUUUCCCUUUUCACCUGUAAAUAGAGCAAUUGCACUUUUUUAUGAUUUUCCAGUAUUAGAUUAGUUUUAUAGCAUGUUCUGAAAUUUCAUUCUCUUUCAGCAUCAAUCUUUGUUUUGUUUUUAUUACAGAAUUAUACUUACAAAUAACAUCAUUUCAUAACAAUAAACAUAAAAAUACAAUGCAAUACAGCAGUUACAGCUUUAUAGAGUAAACAUUUCAUUUGGAAGAAAAUUCCACUCUCACACUAUUACUUCACAAAAGCAGCAAGGUCAGAAGCUCUGAGGGUUAAUAACAAAGCUGUUUGUAUCCUUAAAUUAGGGAACAAAUAUUCAGGGGUCAAUGACUACACCUGUGAGAAAACACAGAAAGAGGGUUUCUUGUCCACAGCUUAAUUGUUUUGAAGAAGGGGUCUUGGACAAAAAACUGAUUUUCAAUUUGGAGUUAGUGUACAAUGUAGGGUAAAUUGUAUCAAAGCCAAAUGAUAUUCUACAAAAUUAAAUUUCUUUCACCUGACGUUGCUCAGUGCCAGGUAUUUCAAGAGAAUUAAAAAUUUUCCAUGCUACUUUUGCAGACUAAGCACACUCUGGGUAGUGUAGAAAGAUGGCAAGAUGGCAAAUAUGAAGUCAGAAGAUUAGUGCAAGGCAGGAGUUGUUUAAGCACAAAAUGUUUUUCUUAGACUUACAAGAAUUUUCCAAGGUGAUGAACAGAAAUAGGUGUGAAAAGAAGAAAUACCAGUCAGGAGAUUCAUAGGAAAUUUUGAGUAGGGAAGGGUUUUGCCUUAGAUGAGGAUAUCUCUUGAUCUGAUCAUUUGCCGAAUUCUCUCUUCUCUAAAUACAGAUUUGCUUACCAUUAAACACUAUACUGGACCAGCAUCCUUUCCUAGCUUUCUUUUACAGUAGUUGCAAUAUUAAAUGAGAAAUAUUUUGGAAUUAUAUCCGUGUCAAAUAGAAACUUUACAAUUAGAAAGAUAUUCCGACUAAGAGUCCAAUUUUCUGAUAGCUAUAUGUCAUUUUGAUUUUUGUCACUUUGCAAUGCAAAAAUGUACUUAAAUUUACACUGAAGAGCUUUUAGAAUUACACAUAUCUUAAAUGAGGAGUUUUGUCUUGUGAUACAAUGCAAGUUUUUCCCCACAUGCAAUGGCUCCCUCUGAGGUCCCUGGCACAUUCUGUAAAUUUUUGUCUCUAGUGCUCAGCUAAAGCACUUCCAUCUUCCUAAGGUAAGAUUUCAUUUUUCAAAGAUUCUUCUUUAGAAACCCAAGAUCCGUUUGCAAUUCUCUCAAAUCAGAGCCUUUUCCUAGAUUUACUUUAUUUCUUCAUUUUUAAGUCAUAGUUAGUAAAGAAAUCCUAUGCAAAAUGGAAUAAGGUGGAUUUUCCUUGCAUUGUCUUUUGUAAAGUUUGUUGUCUCUUAUUUCCUUUUUACCAGUAUUUGCAGGCAAUGUCUUUAAUUAUGGACCACAGACUCCAAUUCCCAGCUCCACUUCCCUUUUCCUGUUCAUUUCUAGUGAAUAUCUGUGGUUGAUAUUGUCCGUUUUGCAGCACUUUGUCCUUUUUCUGUCCUCUAAGACACAAAUUCUUGCCCUGAGACCCUGUGAAGAGUUAACCAGAUGGCAGAUGAUCAGCUCCUGCUAAUUUGAAAGGGUCUGUUUUAGUCAGUGCUUCCUGACCUCUUUUUUUCUCUAUUCUAGGCUGAGAUUUUACCUCUUCCUUGUUUAUAUUUGUGACAGUCCCAUCCCCACCUGGCCAUGGAGUGAGGGUAGGUGCACCAGGCUGAAGGUUUCCGCCCAUAAUUGUAAUUUGUUGGUGAUGCCAUUGAAUAUGGAACUAGUGAGCCACAGAGUUCCCACUGCGGGCCUGCUCACAGCACAGCUUCUUUUUUUGCUCUAACAACUUCAUUGUUUCUUGAUACCUUCCACUGUGCCCUUCUGAGAGUAAUUCCAUGUUAUUGCAUGACCUGUGUGCUUCUCUCUGUGACAUCAGCAAGUAUUUCACAUUUGGAGUUCUCAUCAUCUGAUUUACCUGCUGAAAAUCAACAGAUUUUACUGUGCUGGUGUUCUUUUCUUUCUUUUUUGUUUCUUUUUAAAGUUCUGAACUUUUUCAUCCUAUUCCAGUUGCCUUAUAUCCAAAUUUUCAACAAGCUUCUUCCUACAAAUAUAAAGAUUUUUUGUAGUACCUCCUUGAGUUACAAAAAAUGUCAUUAAUGCUUUCUAAGAAUUUGCAGGCCAAUUUGUGUUUUAUUUCCUUUACAAACAAUAAAAUCUCCCUGUCUUGGCAAACUCUUUUUUUAGUAAUUCUACCAGUGUCUCACAAAAAAACCUCAAAAAGCCUCACCCAACCUAAUUUUCUUGCUCUGGUAUUCUGUAGUGGAUAGUUAUCAUGAUAAAUGCACAUGUUCUUUAUUGUUGUAUGUAAUAUUGCUCUUUGCAUUGCUGAUCUUGAAGUAAAUAUAUAAAGUGUUGUCUUAUAACAGAGACAAAUGAAGGGAGAGAAGAGGCAGAACCCUGGAGUGCCAUCCUUCAAAGUCGAUCUCUUGGAGGCCUAAUUCAGCUGUAGGAGCAGAGAGGGCAACCUUGUAAUAUUUGCCCUUUGAAAUGCUAUCUUUCAGAGGUGACCUUUAAGCUAACUUGGGAGUCUGACAACCUGGGGCCUCAGCACAAGAUCCUUCUCUCUGUCAGCCCCUCACAGCUGCUAUCCCCUCUGCCUUUGUUCCAAAUAGUUCCUCCUUCUGAUUUUAUCUGCCUGGCUUCAUAACUUCCACAAUUCAGUUAGCAGACUGUUCCCUUUCUCUUGCAGGUACUUCUCUGAGUUUAUAGUUCUGUUGUGUUCUUUACAGACCUCAUUCCUUCUAGGUUAAAUUUCUUCUCUCUAGUGACAAAACCAUUCAAGGACAUUACAGUACUCUGGGGAGAUUCAUAGUCCCACAGCACUGCACACUCAUUUUGGAACUUUGGGAAAUGUAAACCAUGAAGUUAAUCAGGAAAGAGCUCAAACACUCUUGUGACCUGGCAGAAGUGAAAUAUCCAUGUGGCAGCAUACAAAAUUAGGGAAAACUAUAUUAAAUGCUGUGGAUGCUUUCCAAGAACAGAGGAGCCUCCACGAUUACCAAAUCAACCAUUGCCAUCUCUAGCCAUGACCAUUGUCAGGUGUGCUCGUGCUUGUCCAGGCUGUGACAAAUGCAGGUGUGUCUAACAGCAGCUUUUAGGAAUUCAUGUAUACAUUUCCAUGGCUUUUGGAGCGCUGAACCAAAGCUAUCCAUUUAAUAAACGAGCUGCAGAAGUUAGAAGGCAGAUUCUUACAAAUGUAUUUGAAAAUCCAAUAAAACUUUUGGUAAGAGAUCAGAUCGGUAUUACAAACAUCAAGAGUUAUUUUUGCUUCUUUAAAAAUAUUGAAAACUUUUUGGGGUGCACACUUCUCCUAAGGGCUACUCCACUGAAAAUUCCUCCUGCUGGAGAUCACACCUUCACCCCUGGUGACACUUCUGAGGUCCCUCAGAAGCAGAGGCUGUGUUUUUGGGACACCACACAUUUCCCCACAGCUCCGGCAGCCAGGCCCCUUCUCCCACCCCGUUUCCCCUGGCUGAUCUGCACUGUGCAAAAGCCAUGACCUGAGAUGGAAUUUUGGCCUGGAAUUUGGCCUGGAAUUUCAGCAUUUUUCCAGUGCAUUACCUGUCAGCACUUGGUCCCUGAUUAGCCAGGCAGCUAAUGGAACCCCACUGCUAUCUCUGAAAUUCUCCAUUUUCUGUACUGAAUUGUGUUCUUGCCUUGUCAGUGGUUUGGGGUUUUUAUCUAUACAAUUGUUUCCUUGGUUGUCUCCACUGUGUUUGUUUUUCUAAAUGAUAGCCAGCCCCUAUUUUGGUGUAGCACCAUAUUACUUCAUCAAUCACUUGAAGAGGAUGUUGACACAGUGUUAGGUUCUUUUGAGUAAAACAAGGCUGGUUUUAUUAUUUUGUUGUGUAUUAUUUUCCACUAUUCCCAUUGGACUGGGAAAAUUGAGUUUUCAUAGGCCUAAUCUUCUCAGCUAAUGUUAUGAGCUAAAGCUAAGUAGCAUUUGUUGGAAAACAAGAGCUUCAUUUUGUGCUCAACUCAUUCUUUUGUUUGGCAGAGAUGUAACAGAUACUGUGCAGGAAUUCAGACCAAGUUUUUUUAUUCACUGUAUGGCUCAAGUUCUAUUUAGAUGGUUGCUAUUUAACUGGUUGCUAAUUAUAUUUCAAAUAUUGCAAAUAUUAUGUUUAUUUUUUAAAGAGAAGAUUUUUGACUCAGUAUCUACAGUUGAAAUAAUGUCAUGUAACGCAAAGAACAAAUUUGUACAAGUUGUGCAGGAUGAUCUGAAGAGAAGAGACAGCAAGAAAGAGAAACAGAAUUUACAGAAGAUCCAAACAGAAAAAAACCCUGGUUUGGCCAGAAAAAGGCCCAUGACCAUCAGAUAUGAAUUAAUUUGUUAGAUGGAAUAAAGGCCAUGUGAAGAUUGAAAGGGAAAAUGGGUAGGAUGGAGUCAAAAAUCUUUUAUCUUCUGGAGAAGAGCAGCAAGUUUGCAAACUAAAAAAGUACUGGCGGGGUUGUAAUUAGUAGCGUGAGCAGUAUUUUGGGGAAAGGAGUAAAAUGUAUGAGUGGUUUCUGUUCUGGGAGGGAAGGAAAGCUGCCAGAGGAGAGGGUUGCUGGGUGUGUGAGACCAUGGAUGGAGGCUGAGGAAAAAUGACACAUUCACAGUGACUGUAGAUUCCCUGCAGCAAAGGAGAACACAUAAAAUCGGGUGCUGUUCCCCAAAAUUGUCUGUUUUGCAGAGAAUCUGAAGUGCUGAGGGGUUUGUGUAAUAUAUCUGUAGGAGAGAGAUGGGACAGGAUUUCUGUUCAGGAAAUCCAGAACAAGGGAACAGAGAUGUCAGGCAAGAUGAACUCACUGGAGAGGAACCACCUCAUGUUUGGAUGUUCUCCAGAUGAGCUCCUGAGCACACAGGGAGGAACUUUGGAUAUUCUACACAUGCCAAUAAUGAGUGUGAGUUUCUAUGGUGUAUCCUUGUAUUCGUGGCUGCUUGAAUUAGACUUUCUAGUCUUUUCAAAUUCUCAUCAGCGAAAGCUCAUCCGCUAAACAUGGGGAGGAGGGAAAACCCGGAGGAGAUUUCUGCCGGAGUCCGGAACGGAGUCGGCAAAAGGGAAAACCCAGACAGGAAUCUAGCCAGAGUUUGGAAUGGAGUCGGCAAAAAGGAAAACCCGAACAGGAAUUCAGCCAGAGUCUGGAUUUAUCCCGGCGUCUGGAAGGGACUCGGCAAAAGGGAAAACUAGGACCGGAUUGAUCCAGGAGUCCGGAAUGCACUCGGCAAAAGGCAAAACCCAGACUGGAAGCUCGUCGGAGUCCGGAAUGGAUCCGGCAAAAGGGAAAACCCAGACUAAAUUUCUCCCGGAAUUCGGAAUGGACUCAGCAAAAGGGAAGAUCCUCUUGAGCUUGCAGUUGUUUUGCUCCACUUUUAAUUUUUUUCUAACGUUCUAAGGUAUUAUUCAAUCUCUCAGAGCAUUUUCCAGAAGCAAGAUAUUGUUCAGCAUUGCUUAACACCAUUAGUUUUACAAAGAACAUGACUUCAGCAGAAAGAUUUGAAUUUUUCUAUUGACGUCUUUACUUAGAGGAGGUUCAUGGUGAAGCCGAAUGUAAUGAGAAAUAAAAACAUCUGUAUUUUUGAUACAGCCAAAUCUCUAGAUAAGGAGGCAUGGGAUGAAGACAAAUACCUGUCACAUGGCUGUACUCCUCUGCUGAGUAGAUUUAAAUAUGUUUUACUCUUUUUUUGUCAUUCUUUUUUCACCCCAGACUUGCCUCUUGUCCCAGUCUAUAAACCAUUUUCUAACUGUCCUCUUGCUUCCCAUCCAGAUGAGUAUUUCCAAACCCUCACCUAACACCAGACCUCUUUUAUUUUUAUCAGUCCUCACACCAUCCUAUUUCUCUAACUACAACUCAGUUUAUCCCUUCAAUUUCUGCUUCCCCUUUCCAUUCACAGCUUAUCUUCUUUCUGUAUUUAAUCCUGGUUCUCUUCCCAUUCAGACCCACAUUUCCCAGAUUAUCCCAUCGAGGGUUUGCUGACCCUCCCUGUAGCAAAACAGAAAACAGAAUUCUGUUUUCACCCUUUUGCAUUUGCAGCAGCUCAUUUUCCCUCUCCAUUCAGAAACCCCUUCUACUAGGAACAGGGUCACUGAUCCCAAAGGAGAUCCAAGUUUUUCCCCUAAACCUGCACACACCCUCUCCUGAAGCAUCUAAGAGCAAGAUUACACCAGGGAUUGUUCAUAAUUCAGUUUUUCAAGGAUUUUCUGAGUGUGAGUAAGGAUGUGCAGGAAAAAGAAUAAUAAUUAAACAUCCUGUAAUUUACUUUUUAAAGCUCUUUAGGGCUACAGGUGUAGAGCUUCACGUUACAUGUCCCAGAACAAGCUGAGAUGUCAGUCCAGCACUCGGAGCAUUACUUGGGCUGUUUGCAGGAGCUGCUGAGCACCUUCGGGCAGAACUGGGUAACGUGGUUGGAGAACUGGGAUGUGACCCCGGAGCAGGGACCAUCCUGUGGCUCUGAGCCCAACAGGUUCCUGACACAGAAGGUCUUUGCAAAGUUCUGUGUGAUACAGCUACAUAUCCUUGCUUUGAAUUUUGAUCUUAUAAAGCUGUCAAUAUUAUUCACUUCUUGUGUAGUGACAGGCAAUCACCUCAAACCUGACAAAUAUUGAGUAAUCUACUCAACCUUUUGCCAUUCAGAGGGAAGCUGACAAAUCUUUCUUCUUGGCUAUCUUGUUUGUAACAACUUUUUUGACCAAAGAACAGCACUUUUUCUUCAGACAGCAGAAAUCUCCAUCCCAAACUUCCUGACCAUUCAGUGAGCAAGUCAUCUCUGUGCAGGAACCCACACAGUUUAAAAGCAGCAUAAUUCCCAUUUAUUCCUUCAAACAAUUAUUUUAAAUUCCUCUUGCAGUGAGAGAACAGCCUUAAAAUAGGCUCCAUACUUGAACAUUAGUCCCAGAAAAGCAGAUUCCAGUGAAUUGUGAGGCAUUUCUGUCACCUGGUGCCAAACCCAGCCACUCUGAUGUUAAGGUAAAAACAUCCUGAUUCUGCCCAGCAGGAUAAGGAAAACAUAUUUUGUGUUGCUUACACUCUCAUUGGUUCCUUGCCAAAAAGACAGUGUUUUUAAAACUUUUAAAUUAUUCACUUUUCUAACUUAAGCAUUGCAAUGUUUGUAACCUUUCCAUCCAGUUUCUGGGGAUGCUCUGGUGGUCCAUGGCAGAGGCUGGACCCUGGCAGUCACCUCUUAUUUAAAUUAUGGGAGAAUCCAAAGAAAAGAGAUGUUAAUGAGGAGGGAACAAUCUCUCCAGACACAUUGUUCAUAGCACAUAUUGAUUUCUAGCAUGUCAUGGCAAACAAAAGUUUAACAACUAUAAUUUUAUGAAAACGACAAUUGAACAGCACAUCUGGUGAGAAUUCAUUUAUGCUUUUUACAUUUUUAACAACCUGGCUAUUUUUACUCUCCUCAUCCUCUCAAAGGGAGUGCAAUGUAAUGAAGCAUGGAGCUGGAACUAGGCCACACCUCAGCUGGAAAAUGUCAAAUUCUAUUAUGCCAUCUUCAAAAGCAUAAAUCAUAGCUGCACAUUUUUAAAGGUAUAAAUGAGGGAGGGAACACCAUAAAACAUUUAUUUGAACUCAUGCAAUGUAUUUAUAGUACAGAAUGGUAGAGUAUGGGAUUUAUGUAAUGUAAAAAUAUACCAAACAUUUAAAAGUUGACAUCUAUGAUACACAGUAUCUUCUCUCUGAUGAGAAAUCCCUUUGCGCACUGACCUUUCUUGAAUUUAAUUUUUCUGGACGUCAGCUAACAAACUAACCUGCUCAAUGUUAGUUCUUUUGUCACUUAAAAUCCUUGUUUUAUAUAGGACAAUAAUUUUAAUUGUCUUAAGUUUAAAGAAAUGCUUGAUUUAUAUAAUACCCAGGAAUCUACAUUUCAUUUUUUUUAAAUAUUAAAUUGUACCUUUCAUGCAUUAUUUCCCACGUUUCAUUGCUUAAAUUAUGUAUGGGGAGGAGACUCUGUCUCUUUGGCAGGAGCAGUACCAUAGUUCAUAACUCUUCAAAUAAAUAAAUAGUAUUUACUGAGCAUUUAGGAGGAGGAAGGAAGAUUGUUAUACUCUCUUGCCUUCUCUCACUCUUACUGUUUUCUUGAAUACUCCAUUUAUUCCCAGAGAUUUUAACUGCCUCACUACAGCCACUUUUCUGUGGUUUGGGAGACACUAAACUGUCAGAGGAGCAGAGAUGACCAUCUACUGCUUUGACCAACACUGCUGCCAUGGUGGACAAACCUUUGACUCAGACAUUUAAACACAGAUUAAAUGGAGGACAGAUUAAAGGGGAGGACAGGUUGAGGAUACUCCUGAGCCUGUUUUGCUGAGGAUUUGCAUUCCAGAAUCUCACACCUGGCUGCUGAACACACAGGUCCCUGUGUCACAUUGCUGGAAGCCAUCCAAGCAGUGACAGGGGUUUCUGUUCCACAUUGAUUCAUUCAUCUGGAAUUCCUAAUCCUGGAUCUGAAGGUGAAGGCAGUGCAGGCUGUUUGCUCAGAACUGUCUCAGGUCACCCUUGGAUGGGAUGGGGCAGGAGGGAAAAGUGAAUUUUCUCUACUCAGUGAUACACACAUCAACCUGUAUAAAUACAUAAACUACCUGAUCUUUUCAUUUUCUUCACUGAGUAGACCAUAUAGUUUUUUACUGCUUUUAGGAGAAAGCUCUUGAUCCUAACAAUGCUGAUGCCAUUUAACUUUAUUUUGUAUCAUUUGUUACCAGCUUAUAUUUCCACACUGUUCUUGUGCAGUAGAUAUUUCAGUAUUGAACAUUUGAAAUCUUAUCUACCAUUCUGUUCUGACUGAUUUAAUCUCCUUGGCUUUAAAUUGUCUGUCUGAAAUCACUGCAGAAUGGAUCAAGAGGGGAACACUCAGCUCAUCUUAGAAGGAGGUUAAGAUGCUAUUCUUGAGUUAUUCUUAAGAGUUCUUAACCUGUUCUUAAAAUUUUAAGGAGCUUUUCUUAGACUGAAGUAUUGCAAGGAGUAAGUUGAAGAUUUAAAGGUGAUAAAAUAGUUUAAGAAUAUUAUGGAUUGUCUUGCACCGCCUCAGUAGUGAUUUCUUGCCCUUCCUGACCACUUCAGUCUGGGCAACACAGCCCUGUGCCACAGCCACUCUGGAAAGCAGGUGAUGAACCAGACUAGCUUUAAAAAAAUGAUGAAGAAUUUGAAGGAAAAAAAAAAAAAAGUAAAAAAUAAAAGUCAGGGCAUGAGCAGCUGGAAGGGAAGGCUGUUCCCUGGCAGCAGGGACUGAGCAAAGGGCAGACAACACCCAGUGCAGUCAGUAAAGGGUUAAUGUUCAGCGGCUCUGCUCAGCCCUGGACAGACACAUUCUCACUAAUUUCCAGCCUUCCUCUCUAACACUUAGCUUAGAACUCAGCAGAAACCGUUUGGGUUGUGUUGUUGUUGUUGUUGUUUUGGGGGUUUUUUGUUGGGUUUUUUUUUUUUUUUUUGAGUAGACAUUUGGCAACUUGUGAAGUGUCAGAUGAGCACUGGUGAAUUUGAGAACUGGGGUGAACGUUUGUGUCAGGGAAGGAAAAAAUCUUCACAGCAGAAUGCACCCUCUAACCUGAGAGUGGAGGCACCUGAAAGACAGUAACUUUAUUCUGUUCCAAUUACAUUAAAAGCCAAAUCCUGCACUGCUGACGCUUUACAGACUUUACAACUAUUGAAAUCUGGUUUAAGGGACUGGCUGCACACUGGAGACUUAGUCAGUAUAAACUGAAGGUGGUGAGGGUUUAAACUGGGGCCUAAAUAUAAUUUACCAUGAGACAUUAUGGCUGAAAAUUCCUAUUUAAGUGCCAGCAAGGCAGUGAGAGCAGUCUGUAGGAUCCAGGAAAGCAGGAUUCCUGCUGGGGUGUCCUGUCCAGCAUCAAGGCUGUGGAAGUCAAGGCAGUGAGGGCUCUCCUGCCUUGGUUCCUGGGGUGCAGUCCCAAAAAAUGCCCAGGUCCAACUGUUCAGCCUCCCUGAUUUUUUCUAACCCCCCUGGUCCCUUCUCUAUGGAUUCUCAUCUACAUGAUAAAACACUUCAUAAAUCUAAAACAUAAUUUACUGGACUAUUGUUAGGGAAUUUUAGAUUUAUCAUCACUCCUACUAAUUCCAUUUAAUCUAUUAAUUUACCUUCUAUUAAUUUAUCACAGCUUUCUGGGUUGGCUGGGUUUUUUCCCUGCUCAUCUGCGAGGUGUUGGAUGCUGACAGUGACGGAAACCUCACAGGAAGCAUUGACAAGGUCUGAAAAAUAAUUCUGGAGCCCUUGUGUUGCUAAGGAAGUUUCAUCAGUAGAACCAACGAUUUGAGAUUGUUUUCUCAGCAGAGCAUGAGAUAAAUGAGAACUAUUUCCAGAUUCAGUAAUUUUGAAAUCUGAAGGAACGAUCUUAUCAGUUUGCUGGCCACCCUGAACGGAAUGCAUCAAAAAAGAUUAAUAGGGAACAGGGAUACCUGUUUUCUUUCAAAGCAAAAAAAGCCCUGCAAAAAUAUUUUAUGGAGCAGUUUUUACCUACUUCACUUUGCAUUAAAUAUAAAAUCUAUAUGUUCUGUAUAACUAGCUUUUCAUUCUCCACUGCUGGGAUAAGAAAAUUGGUAAACUAAAAGAAAAACAGGUGAAAUUCAUUACAUUAGAAAAGAAGAUUCUCUAUGAGGUCUGAGCUGCUGGAAUAUUUAAUGUGGCAUCCUCCAAAAUUUUCCCAGUGGGUAAAGGAAUCUCUCAGGAAAACUUUGUUUACACAGUUUAACCUAAGAUGCAUCUGUAUGGAGAAAAGAAGGAUUUUUUUUUUUUCCGUCAGCUACAAAAUUUGACUGUUUUGAAAUCCCCCAUCCUCAGGUGUAUGACAAAAAAUGUUAAGACUAAUAAAGAUAAAUAACGUGACUGCAAAAACCCAUGUCCAAAUACAAACAAAAGAGCAACUUCUGUUUGUUGAAUCUCUUCCCUAUGUAGCAAGCCCUGGCUAUUUUAAUAAAUAUGAAAUAUUCCAAUUCCAUAGGAUCAGGCCUGGGCCCAAGAGUGGCAGGUGAUCUGUUCCUGGGGCUCCAGCAUUCCUGAGCCAUCCGAGGGGAAUACAUGACACAAAUCUGUGCAGCUCAAUUUAAUGUGCCUGGUUAAACGAGCACAAACAUUCCUGUGCAGCGCAUUUGCAGCACGCAGACAUUUGUGUCACAGUAUCCCUGCUCAGGAUAUAUUUGGAAGAUAAUUGGAGGGGAUGAAACCUUUUAAAGGGAUCAUUAGAAUGUGUAGAAUACUUCUGAAACAAAGAAACAAAAAUCUGCUUUUUUUAAAGUUAGUUUAACUGAGCUACUUCCAGACAAAAGCAUAUUCUGGUAAUGAUAGUUGUUGAGUGAUGAAAACUGUAUUUCACUUAAGAAUCUAUUCUUUUUAUUAGAAUUGUAAUCCUUAAUUUUUACUUCAAUACUAGGAGUCAUAAUCCUAUUUUAACAGCAAUUAAUCUGGUGUUCAUUUACCACUGAGCAAUUUUCAAAGUGCAUUUGACUGAGCUACAAAUAAAACCUCUCCAAGUUCAAAAUGUUUUGAUUUUACCACGUGCACCUGAUUUGGGAGAUUUCUGGUGGCUUCUCUUGCCAAUAAAAAUUGAUAACUUCUAUUUUUGGGUUCUAAGUUUCUAAUUCUCAGACGGUGCCAUGAAUCUGAAUAUAUUUCCAAAGUCUGAGCUUCCAGGCCCUCCAGCCUCUGCCCAGCUGGUGUCAGUCAGCAGAACCUCCCUGCUCAGCUGCCCUUGUGCAAGAGCUCUCUUAUGCUUUUAGGCAAUUCCCUUUUCUGAUGUUUUGAUUUUCCUUUGCCUUUUCUCACCUCUCUGGAGCAGUUUCAGCCCAUCAGUCCAUGAAGGCCUGAGUUAUUUUGGGGGACAGCUCAUUUGUAACUGACUUUUUUUUUUUUGCUUUUCUCCCGGGGCAAUACGAUGUAGGUUGGAAGUGUUGGUUUGCUUUUAUAUAGAGGAGUUAAUCUGAUCAAAGUGCUCCAAAUGUGCUCUAUGCAAACAAAUUCCUAUAAAUCUCAAAGCUGGAUUUAAUCUUUGUCCUCCUUCAGCUUUUUUUUUUUUUACUCCUGUAGUGAUUUUUCUCACGUGCAUUUGUCAUGAGCUACCUAAUUCUGUUCUUAAACAGAAUUCUUUUAUUCCACAGAAAUUAACUUGGCAUAUGAGUUCUCACCCAAAAACUGGUCCACAGCAGCCUGAAUAGGAAGAUUCUGAUAAUUAAGAUGUCAGUGGAGAGCUGUUUCCUCUCUUUGAUUGCAAAAGAAAUGUCCAACUCUUGGCCAACACGUCCUGGUGGCUCCUUCCCACGCAGGAGCUGUGUGUGAGUGAGUGUGUGCACGUGUGUGUGUCUGUGUAUUUUGGAAUCAGUCACGUUCCUCAGGCCCUCAGAGCACAUCCUGUUAUGAGGAAACAGCAAUUCAAUUGUGUCUUGGUGCAACAAUACACAAUUUUGGAAAAGUUUCAAUGAUAGUCACCAAUGGAUUAUCAGGCAAUGCUUCCCUGAAGGCAUCACAGCCCAGCCAGGGGAUUUGGAGGUUUUGAUAAAAAUGGAGAACUCUGUCUAUUUUGUUAAACUCUCACAAGAAUUUUACUUUUCAUCAGCAAUGACAGAAUCCCAGAAUGGUUUGGGUUAGAAGGAACUAAAGGCCCAUCCAGUGCCAUGGCAGGGACACUUCCACUGUCCCAGGCUGCUCCAAGCCCUGUCCAGCCUGGCCUUGGGCACUGCCAGGGAUCCAGGGGCAGCCACAGCUUCUUUGGGCACCUGUGCCAGGGCUCACCAAUAAUAAGCUCAACUUUAGGUGAGGUUUAACUGCUCUGUCUAAGGCUGUGGCACCCUUUUCUUUUCUGAGUCUGCAGCUUCUGUUCUUAGGGUGCAUCUUUUUCUAACCAUCCUCUUUUAUUUCUCUUCCCAAUCCUCUACCCAAUCUUUUCAUUAGCUUUUUUUGGGGGGGUUGGGUGGGAGUGGCAUGUCACCAGGUUCCCUUUUUUUGUCAGGUAUUGUUAUAUAAAGAAAAAUUAAUGUAAGGUAAAAAAGUAGAUGCCUUUAAAAAGAUACCAAUAAAUCAUUCAAAGUCUGUCAGUUUUCUGCACAGGCUGCUAGGAGAAGAGAUUUAAUGGAUCUACAUACAACAGAGAUUUUCUAUAUUGCUUAAGUUUUCUUAUCUGGCAGAGCUUUGCAUCAUUUGGAACCAGCCCCAGUCGUGGGAAGACUCCACUGAUUUCUCUCAAGGAGUGCUUUGGUUGUGGGGGAGUCCAUGUAUAACUUCUCUAUAAGUGUUUCUGGAUGUAUAUUUUGAGGCACAAAGCAUAAAAAUACAGCACAGAAUGUGACAAUGCAGAAUAUAGAAAGAAGCUGUUGAUUACCAUUUGUAUUUUUAGACUCCUCGUUUCAGGAGGAUGCCAAAAGCAAACUGCAGCAGUCAGAUCCAACUGCAUUAUUCCUCAUGGCAGCAUAAAAUAGUGAGACAAUUUCAGAAACUAGAUUAAGAAUCAUAGUUUUUCUUGCUGCAUAAAAUUGCUGAAAAUCUACAGAAAUCUGUAUUGUGGAUCACAAGUUAAUGUAAAACCUCCAAGCUAUUUUUUUUUCCACUUUGUCUGUUUAAGCUACUGGGCAAGUUGUUACAUGAAUAAAUUUAUUUUCUUCCUCUGAAA